AUUGAACGCUGGCGGCAGGCCUAACACAUGCAAGUCGAGCGGAUGAAGGGAGCUUGCUCCUGGAUUCAGCGGCGGACGGGUGAGUAAUGCCUAGGAAUCUGCCUGGUAGUGGGGGAUAACGUCCGGAAACGGGCGCUAAUACCGCAUACGUCCUGAGGGAGAAAGUGGGGGAUCUUCGGACCUCACGCUAUCAGAUGAGCCUAGGUCGGAUUAGCUAGUUGGUGGGGUAAAGGCCUACCAAGGCGACGAUGCGUAACUGGUCUGAGAGGAAGAUCAGUCACCUGGGAAGAGAGAAUGGGCCGAGACUCCGGGGGGGAGACACAGUGGGGAAUAUUACGCGAUGGAGGAGAGCCGGAUCCAGCCAUGCCGGGUGUAUGAUGAUGGUCCUCGGAUUGGAAAGCACUGUAAGUUGGGGGGAAGGGCAGUAAGUUAACACCGUACGGUAUUGACGUUACCGGCAGAAUAAGCUCCGGCUAACUUCGUG
rnacentral:rRNA from 1 species